rnacentral:misc_RNA from 1 species
UACGAAGGGGGCUAGCGUUGUUCGUAAUCACUGGGCGUAAAGCGCAUGCAGGCGGAUCGAUAAGUCUGGGGUGAAAGCCCAAGGCUCAACCUCGGAACUGCCUUCGAUACUGUCGAUCUUGAGUCCGGGAGAGGUGAGUGGAACUCCGAGUGUAGAGGUGAAAUUCGUAGAUAUUCGGAAGAACACCAGUGGCGAAGGCGGCUCACUGGCCCGGUACUGACGCUGAGAUGCGAAAGCGUGGGGAGCAAACAGG